rfam:Trichomonas vaginalis G3, whole genome shotgun sequence.
UGCAAGUGUUAGUUCAGGUAACGAAACUGCGAAUAGCUCAUUAAUACGCUCAGAAUCUAUUUGGCGGCGACCAACAGGUCUUAAAUGGAUAGCAGCAGCAACUCUGGUGCUAAUACAUGCGAUUGUUUCUCCAGAUGUGAAUUAUGGAGGAAAAGUUGACCUCAUCAGAGGCACGCCAUUCGACUGAGUGACCUAUCAGCUUGUACUUAGGGUCUUUACCUAGGUAGGCUAUCACGGGUAACGGGCGGUUACCGUCGGACUGCCGGAGAAGGCGCCUGAGAGAUAGCGACUAUAUCCACGGGUAGCAGCAGGCGCGAAACUUUCCCACUCGAGACUUUCGGAGGAGGUAAUGACCAGUUCCAUUGGUGCCUUUUGGUACUGUGGAUAGGGGUACGGUUUUCCACCGUACCGAAACCUAGCAGAGGGCCAGUCUGGUGCCAGCAGCUGCGGUAAUUCCAGCUCUGCGAGUUUGCUCCCAUAUUGUUGCAGUUAAAACGCCCGUAGUCUGAAUUGGCCAGCAAUGGUCGUACGUAUUUUUACGUUCACUGUGAACAAAUCAGGACGCUUAGAGUAUGGCCACAUGAAUGACUCAGCGCAGUAUGAAGUCUUUGUUUUCUUCCGAAAACAAGCUCAAUGAGAGCCAUCGGGGGUAGAUCUAUCUCAUGACGAGUGGUGGAAUACUUUGACUCAUGAGAGAGAAGCUGAGGCGAAGGCGUCUACCUAGAGGGUUUCUGUCGAUCAAGGGCGAGAGUAGGAGUAUCCAACAGGAUUAGAGACCCUGGUAGUUCCUACCUUAAACGAUGCCGACAGGAGUUUGUCAUUUGUUAAUGGCAGAAUCUUUGGAGAAAUCAUAGUUCUUGGGCUCUGGGGGAAACUACGACCGCAAGGCUGAAACUUGAAGGAAUUGACGGAGGGCCACACAGGGGUGGAGCCC